GAUUCUGGCUCAGGAUGAACGCUAGCUACAGGCUUAACACAUGCAAGUCGAGGGGCAGCAUGAUCAAAGCUUGCUUUGAUUGAUGGCGACCGGCGCACGGGUGAGUAACGCGUAUCCAACCUUCCCCUUAGUAGGGCAUAGCCCGUAGAAAUGCGGAUUAAUACCCUAUGUUGUUCAAUGCGGACAUCUAAGUUGAACCAAAGGUUUACCGCUAAGGGAUGGGGAUGCGUCCGAUUAGGCAGCAGGCGGGGUAACGGCCCACCUGGCCGACGAUCGGUAGGGGUUCUGAGAGGAAGGUCCCCCACAUUGGAACUGAGACACGGUCCAAACUCCUACGGGAGGCAGCAGUGAGGAAUAUUGGUCAAUGGGCGAGAGCCUGAACCAGCCAAGUAGCGUGCCAGGAUGACGGCCCUAUGGGUUGUAAACUGCUUUUAUGCGGGGAUAAAGUGCGGCACGUGUGCCGUUUUGUAGGUACCGCAUGAAUAAGGACCGGCUAAUUCCGUGCCAGCCGCCGC
rnacentral:rRNA from 1 species